rnacentral:rRNA from 1 species
AACGAACGCUGGCGGCAUGCCUAAUACAUGCAAGUCGAACGUACACUUCGGUGGUAGUGUCGCCCGGGUGCGUAACGCGUGGGAAUCUGCCCUUCGGUUCGGAAUAACGUCGGCAAACUCAGGAUAAUACCGGGUGAUGACGUAAGGCCAACGAAUGAUCGCCCAGGGGUGAGCCCGCGUAGGAUUAGCUAGUUGGUGGGGUAAAGGCCUACCAAGGCGACGAACCUUAGCUGGUCUGAGAGGAUGAUCAGCCACACUGGGACUGAGAAAAGGGCCAGACUCCUACGGGAGGCAGGAGUAGGGAAUAUUGGACAAUGGGGGCAACCCUGAUCCAGCAAUGCCGCGUGAGUGAUGAAGGCCGUAGGGUUGUAAAGCUCUUUUACCCGGGAUGAUAAUGACAGUACCGGGAGAAUAAGCCCCGGCUAACUCCGUGCCAGCCGCCGCCGUAA